rnacentral:rRNA from 1 species
UACGAAGGGGGCUAGCGUUGCUCGGAAUCACUGGGCGUAAAGGGUGCGUAGGCGGGUUUUUAAGUCAGGGGUGAAAUCCUGGAGCUCAACUCCAGAACUGCCUUUGAUACUGAAGAUCUUGAGUUCGGGAGAGGUGAGUGGAACUGCGAGUGUAGAGGUGAAAUUCGUAGAUAUUCGCAAGAACACCAGUGGCGAAGGCGGCUCACUGGCCCGAAACUGACGCUGAGGUGCGAAAGCGUGGGGAGCAAACAGG